AAGUUAUUGAAAUAUUAUAAUUACCUCAUUUCAGACAGAAGUACAAGCGAACAGAUGACACAUUAAAGUGGCUGCAGAAGCUUGAAAAGUUAGAUAGAGCAGGGACAGUCAAAACUGUGGGAUAAUACUUCUAUGUUGUCCAACAUGUCUAGUCAGGUUGACAUAAGUGAAAGAUGGUCUGAUGGUACAAUGAUGUACAAAUGAUACUCUUUAACAAGUUUAACAUGUCAAAGUGUAAAAUGUUCUGUGGAUUCAUAUGAUGAGAAUACCAAUGUUGAUCUGUAUGACUUAAUUAAACACAGAUAUUGAUACCUUCAGAUAUAUACCUGUGAAAUCUUCAGUGUCACCGUUCAGCUAUUGUUCAAG
rnacentral:lncRNA from 1 species